UUGCUCCAGUGGAAAGUGGCGGACGGGUGAGUAAUGUAGUGAAAAUCUGCCCUAGAGAGGGGGACAACAGAGGGAAACUUCUGCUAAUACCCCAUAUGAGCUUGGUUGAAAUACCCAAUCUUGGAAAAACUCCCGGGUGCUCUAGGAUGAGUCUGCAUCUGAUUAGCUAGUUGGUGGUGUAAUGGACUACCAAGGCGACGAUCAGUAGCUGGUUUGAGAGGAUGAUCAGCCACAAUGGGACUGAGACACGGCCCAUACUCCUACGGGAGGCAGCAGUAGGGAAUUUUGCGCAAUGGGGGAAACCCUGACGCAGCAACACCGCGUGAACGUUAGGCCCUUCGGGGUAUAAAGUUCUGUCACUGGGGAAGAAUAAAUGACUGUACCCAGAGAGGAAGCACCGGCUAACUCCGUGCCAGCAGCCGC
rnacentral:rRNA from 1 species